AAGAGUUUAGGUUAAUAAAAGACCAAAGGCCUUCAAAGCCUUAAGUAGAAGUGAAAAUCCUCUAACUUUUG
rnacentral:tRNA from 3 species